rnacentral:rRNA from 1 species
AAUUUUCCGCAAUGGACGGAAGUCUGACGGAGCGACGCCGCGUGGGGGAAGAAGGCCUUAGGGUUGUAAACCUCUGUCUUCAGGGACGAAGAGGGUGUGGGAGACACACCGAAGCCGGUACCUGAGGAGGAAGCCCCGGCUAACUACGUGCCAGCAGCCGCGGUAAUACGUAGGGUGCAAGCGUUAAUCGGAAUUACUGGGCGUAAAGCGUGCGCAGGCGGUUCGGCAAGAAGGAUGUGAAAUCCCAGGGCUUAACCUUGGAACUGCAUUCUUAACUGCCGGGCUAGAGUAUGUCAGAGGGGGGUAGAAUUCCGCGUGUAGCAGUGAAAUGCGUAGAGAUGCGGAGGAAUACCGAUGGCGAAGGCAGCCCCCUGGGAUAAUACUGACGCUCAUGCACGAAAGCGUGGGGAGCAAACA